UCGGUACCUGCUCCAUCGUGUCCCUCACCGCCGCCAUCGUCGCACCCUUUUUGAGGGAUCUGGGCACCGCAACCAACAAAAGUGUCCCCUACGGUCUCUGCUGUGCUCUCUGCAUUUUCAGCGGCCUUUCAGCACUGUACCUGCCAGAAACUACAGGGGUGCAGCUUACGGAUACACUUGAAGAAGGAGAGACUUUUCAAGUCGAGACAGCCGCAGCAGCUUCGUGAAGAGCAACCUCGAAUGUGUCAUCCAAUUCAGCUAACUUGUGGUUUAUGAGCGUGACAUCGUUUAUGGAUUUUCCAUGUGCCUUUGCCACAUUCCUGAUGGACACUGCUGGGUGUUUCACGGAAACCCACAGGUGAAUACUUAGGAAAGAGCUGAAGCUAUCGAAGCUUUCAUUUUGGUGAACAUCCUCCGGACAUCGGUUGUGAACUGACAUGUAACUGGCUUAUUCGCAUAAGCUCAUUAAUUAAAUCCUGUCUUUUAAAUUUUGCUAGGGAUGCUUUCGCCCUCUUUGACUUAGCUAUCGGACCUUUAUUGGAUAAUAUCAAUAUCAGGUGGUGUUAAAGUGGGUGGUGGCAUAAGGAUUUCACAAUUCAGUAUUCCUUCACCCUUCCUCCUCCACCUACAAGGCACACAGCGCUCGCGGUGCGUUCGUCGUCAUUACAAUGAAAGUACACUGCUGCGAAGUAUAUAAGGCCCGAGACAAAGAGUACAGACAAAUUACCUUUACACAGCAACAGUUUAACGAAGAGUAACCCCUAUGAACUCAAAAACCUCCGGAGAGGAGUCAAAAGGAAUAAAGGAGGGAUUGUGA